AUUGACCGCUGGCGGCGGGCUUAACACAUGCAAGUCGAGCGAGCGGCGGACGGGUGAGUAAUGACUGGGAAACUGCCUUAUGGAGGGGGAUAACUACUGGAAACGGUAGCUAAUACCGCAUACCAUCAGAUGUGCCCAGAUGGGAGUAGCUAGUAGGUGGGGUAAUGGAUCACCUAGGCGACGAUCCCUAGCUGGUCUGAGAGGAUGACCAGCCACACUGGAACUGAGACACGGUCCAGACUCCUACGGGAGGCAGCAGUGGUGAAUAGUUCACAAUGGGCGCAAGCCUGAUGCAGCCAUGCCGCGUGUGUUAAGAAAGCCUUCGGGUUGUAAAGCACUUUCUGCGAGGAGGCGUUACUCGCAGAAGAAGCACCGGCUAACUCCGUGCCAGCAGCCGCGGUAAUAC
rnacentral:rRNA from 1 species